UUAACAAGCAGUGAUUCCUUACAGAGACAACCCCUUGCUGCCGCUCUCCUUCUCAUCCACGACCCCUUGCUGAUGCUGCCCUCCUUCUCAUUGGUGGCCUCAUCUUCCUCCUCCCCAUCGGCGGUUGCGACCAAGCCAGCACCAAAGGCCCCCCAACAGCAAAGCGGUUUGUUGUGUCCCGCCUCGUCCUGGCCUUCGUCCGUUUUGUGCUCAACAUGGUCUUCCUACGUCGGCUGAGUCCACGGACCUGCAGGUUGACCAUACUAUUGUGGGAAUUUUUGGCAUAAUGGUUCUUGAUACUAUGUUGGAUCAUCUUGGAAUUCCUAGAGCUAUUUACCGGAGAAGGAUGUACUCACAGAACACAUUGACUGUCAAUGUGCUUUUCUACUGGAGAAAGAUGCACGCAUUUGAGUAUUUCUGUUAGCCAUGUUGGUAAACAAAUGUUUAUUGUAUCCUUACAAUGUUUAUUUCCACCAGCAAAACACUACUGAUCGGCGAUUGGAACUAUGCUUCCAGCGGUAUCACUUGCCAUGAUGAGCUACACUAUUGAUUCAUUUUGUGUACUUAUCAAGGAUGCUAUCGGAUUUUGUCCCUUGCCUUUUGUAUGCCUUGCUUUCUGUACUGUACUGUCCAACUGCCCUGUAAUGUCCUACUUGGUUUUGGGGCAUUUCUUUGUAAACGACUUGUGCUAAUUAUUACCAAUGGUCUUUAGAUUUGUGAGAUGUGUUGCUUUUUAUAUGAACAACUUGCUGUAAUCCUGAUCCAUGCAACUGUGUCGAUUUUUUGUCUAUUUCUUUAUGCCAAACUUAUAUAUCUCAAUCAUACCGGG